UACGUAGGGACCGAGCGUUGUCCGGAAUCAUUGGGCGUAAAGAGCGUGUAGGCGGCCUGUUAAGUCUUGCGUGAAAUCUCGGGGCUCAACCCCGAGCGGUCGUGAGAAACUGGCAGGCUAGAGUGCGGGAGAGGAGAGUGGAAUUCCUGGUGUAGCGGUGAAAUGCGUAGAUAUCAGGAGGAACACCGGUGGUGUAGACGGCUUUCUGGACCGUAACUGACGCUGAGACACGAAAGCGUGGGGAGCGAACAGG
rnacentral:rRNA from 1 species